rnacentral:lncRNA from 1 species
UUCUUUUGAUCAAGUCCCAACACGUUGCAGGCAAAACAGCCUUCAGUUAGUGGUCUCAUUUUCGAUCUCGUGCUCGUUUGUUCUAAAGUGCUACAUUCAGUUUUUUGUGAUGAACCUCUGAAUAAAUUACAGCAUAGGACACACACUAAUGUUUGCGUCUGUCGACGUCGUUCGGGCUUAUUUCUAUAACGAUGGAAAUCUCUUUGAGUUAUAGCCAUCCAAAUUUAUUUGUGACAUCAGAAAAAUCAGGUCUGGAAGAAGCAAAGCAACAAACCGCAAGUCAAAGUUGGUUGUCCUGGACGUAUUGUUAAAACUUUUCUUUUCCCUUUCCCUCUGGCCUCGUUGAAAAGUUAUGCCGCAUACAUACAGGGCCGGCUAAAAUUCGAUUAAUUUUAAUUGGAUAGAUUUUUAGAAAUGCAGCCAACCCCAUUGUGUCCUAUUUAAAAAACUUUGAAAAAAACAGGACUUCCCAGGAAUGGAGCGUGUUGUUGGCAAUGGAUCGAUGGUCGACUUUGUACAUUCUGCCAUUUAUUUUUGAUAUUCUACUGUUGACAAGUUUCCAUCGUAUCACGCGAGAGCUGUUAUUGCAAUGCCCAAGAACUUCUACGACGCUUCCGUCUCACGCGGCUAAUAAAACGGAAGUAUAUAGAGGUAUCUAAAACGCAGGGCCCUAUUGUUUAUGCUAACCAGUGGACCCCACUCACAAGGAAAAGUAUAAUGGACAAGUUCACGAAACAUGUGCAUACGUCAGCUGUCAACUUUCUCCAUCCCACUUAAUAUCUUGCGACAUGCAAUUUACCUGCGCUGCAAAUAGCUGGACGCAAAUUGAUUAUAUCUCUUGAAACUACGCGAGGGGAUAAUAAAUGGCAUCCAUUUUAUUUGAAAAAAAAAUAAAGCCCUAGAAACAAGAGAUGACGAAGUACUUGUCUCACUCCCACGACGCAAAAAUUCCAUUGUUACGCAAAUUACAGAUGGCUUCUAGCAAACAAGAGGUCAAUACAUCAUUGCACAGUGAUGAGCAGUUCAACUUUUCUCUCUCCCCAUUCGAUCAUCAUUCAAUGUGAGCCGCUACGUUUUAUGAUGUGCUUUUUGUUUAGUUUCUAUUCGUUGUGCUGCCAUCGAGUUGAAUGAACAUUUCAACAGCAA